CUCCCGGAGCUCGCGGAGGUCAUGACGAGGGGACUACAGGGCGGGGUAGGUCUCAGAAAGGGCAGGGCGCGUUUGCCCCGGGACGUGUGGGGGCCCCCGCUCCCGGCCCUUGAAGGACUGGGAGCAGGAAGCUUGCGCAAUCCCUUGGCUGAGCGUCCAUGAAGAAAGAAAAAGAGCAAAAGCCGAGCGAGAGUGGAACGCGCGAGGGGGGCGGGCAAAGAGCCAUCCGGGUCUUGGCUCCCGCCCUGACACACGUCCCAGAAUGCCGGGUGGGGGCUGCGCGGGGGCGCGGGCGGCCGGGGGAGGGCCGGGGUGCUGGGGCGAACCCCCAGGCGUGCUCGGGGCCGGCGUUCUCGCAGGAAUCCGGGAGCAGCCUGGAGACAGUGUGGUGCUCACGAACGCACACGUUGACUCCACCAUUCCGCCAGCACCUCGCAGCUCCAGCGGCGGUGGCCGCUUCUGUGGCGAUGUCGGCCGCUGCCCGAGACGCCCGGCGUGGCUCCUCCCUGCCAGUGGUUCUGGGAGUGGGGGGUCGUCUUCUGGCGGCCCGAGACAGGGGCUCCUGCUGCAGUGACUGCUCUCCGACAAGCCCGAGGCACAAACCCAAGAUUCCUCGAGCAGUCUGGGCGGGGUGGGGGGCGCCCGCGGGGCCCCGUCUCCGGCUGCGGCCCGCGGGGGUCGCAGGCGCAGAAGCCGGAGGAGCAGUGUGGUGCGACGUCUGCCGGCCCACCCCUCCCCGCAGGGCCGCCUCCCCUGGCCCGCCCGGAGGAGCCCACCCGACCCCCCGCCGCAGGCUCGGUGGCGGGUCUCCUGCCGGCCUGGUGAUGUGCGCCCCCGGGAUCCAUAUUUCAAAUGUGAUCUUUGGAGCUGCUUCCACCGCCCGCCGCCGCCGCCGCGCGCUCACAACGGCCUCUGCGUGCUGUGUGUUUUUCAUUUGGGGUUGGUUUGUCCAAGGUCUCCCCGCGGGCCUGCGCUGCCCGCGAGGUCGCCCCUCCAGCGUCCGCCCCUUGUGUGCUGCUCUCGGAUGCCCCCGUUGCGCCCCCGGACCCAGCGGGGCCCACACGCAGGGCAGAUUUCUUUCUUUCCUUUUUCCAACCAGAGCUGCUGCAGCAAAGCCGGGAAUGAAAUUAAAAUCGCCAGGCGGACCCCGAAGUGGUCGCACGCCGCCGCGCCACCCCAGCGCGGCCUCCCCCCGGCCCCCCGCGCGCCCCCCGCCCGGCCUGGCGGCGCGCCGCGGGGGAGGCGCGCGCCCGAGAGGGUAUUUGGCGAGGCGGGGAGGAGGGGGCGGGGAGGGGUGCCGGGCGCCGGGGCCGGGGGAAGCCGGGCGCGCCAUCGCCCCCCCCUCCCACCGGACCUGGAGUUGCGGGGCGGGCGCGAACGGAGCGGCCCGGGGCUCCUCCGCCUCCCCCGCUGGACCGGAGCCCAGCCCGGCCGCGGACCUGAACGGCGAGGACGCUGCUCUGAGGCCGCGUCCUGCGUAAUCCGAACGGGGGAGGGGGCGGAGGAUCAGGAUCCGCGGCGCGCGUCGCCAGUCGGCCGAUCCAUCCCCAGGGGCGGGAACGCCGCAAGCCCCGCUGGACCCGGGAGGGGUGGUGGCCCUGAAGGAUCGAGGGGCAAACAGAGGGGGUGCUCGGGGAUCCCGUGACCAUGGGAUGGCGGCCGGGAGGGCCCAGCCAGCGCACAGCUCGGCCUGCAGCGCGGGGCCCGGCCCGGGCACCCCCAGGGCCCCCUGUGUUCUCCAUCGGGUCCCCCCAUCUGGGCACUUCCGGAGCAGUGUCUGGCUGCCGCACAACUUGGUCUCUCCCUGUCCAGGCCCCCGCCCCGCCCCGCCCCCACCCCGAUGACGAGGUCGUCGGACGUGAUCACCCAGUCCUUACCCCUCACCCCGCCCUCCUGGGGCGCCACCGACAUGGGUGGGGGUCCCCUUGGCACCGCCUCCGGAGAGAUGCCCCGGGCCUGCCCGACAAGUCCCCUCCCCAACUUGCUCCGGACGGCCGUUUCCUGCGGGGGUGUCUGAGGACCCCCAAGGGGUUCCCUUCGGCUCCUCCCGGGGGGUUGGGGUGGGGGGGCCUGGCCGCAGCCUCACCUGCGGGGCCCGCGGCCCGGGAGGGGCCGGGGCAGGGGAGCCGAGGAGCUGCACCCGCCGCGCCCUCCCCUAGGGGGCGGGCUCCCCUCGGGCUGGCGGGCGGCUGGGGCCUGGGCCAGGGCGGCCCUCCGCGCCUCUCCUCCGGGACGAGGAAGGAGGGGCGCACGCAGGCGGAGCGAGCGGGGCGGGGCGGGGCGGGGGGGCCUGGCCCCGAGCCCCGGGCGCCCUGCUUCUGCCCCCCUCGCCCCCCCUCCCCCGCCCCUGCCUGCGAGGCCGCUGCUCCUCCAGCCGGAAGCAAGCAGACCCCGAGUGAUCUGAGCCUCGGAGCCCCUGCACCGGGGACCAGGACUGACCCUACCCCCGCAUCUCCGCGCAGCGCGGAGGGCGGCCUGUGCGUCCCGGAAGCGCCCCUUGCCCGCUGCCCUCCUCCUCCCACCGAGAAGGCCACAGGAGCCUUCGUGCAUCUUUUUCUUUGAGGGUUUUCAAGGCAAUCUCGGGUCAAGGGCCUCAGAAAGCCCCUUGCUCUGCUGUCAAAGGGCCAAUAAGAAGCAAACCCAUAUUGCAGCGUCCAUUUCCCCAAGACAGCCCAGCCAGCCUCGCUUAAUGUAGGAAUCCCAGCGGACAGGAGCCCUGCCACGGAGGCCCCACCAGGAACUCUCUUCCCUGGGGUUCACUAAGGAAAGAUCGCUGUGGCUGACGGGUGACACCUCUGAAAAGUGUCCUGAUACUUCCCCUAAGGGGUGCUUCCCUGGGUUGCUAAGUGGGAGGACCCUAAUACCCCCAGAGAUACCCCAAGUAGGAAAAAAGGGACCCCCCUCCCAGUCCUGGUCCUCUGAUGGGAGCAUCAACCUUCAGAAUGGCCUUGCCAUUCAUUCUGCCAUCUCAGAAUGGUCCUGAGAUUAUUAUUUUAAAAAAUAUUUUAUUUAUUUAUUCAUGAGAGACACAGAGAGAUUGAGAGGCAGAGACACAGGCAGAGGGAGAAGCAGGCUCCAUGCAGGGAGGCCGAGGCGGACUCGAUCCUGGGUCUCCAGGAUCAGGCCCUGGGCUGAAGGCGGUGCUAAACCGCUGAGCCACCAGGGCUGCCCAGUCCUGAGAUUAUUGUGUAAUUUUUUUUUAAAUUUUUAUUUAUUUAUGAUAGUCACAGAGAGAGAGAGAGAGGCAGAGACACAGGCAGAGGGAGAAGCAGGCUCCAUGCACCGGAAGCCUGAUGUGGGAUUCGAUCUCAGGUCUCCAGGAUCGCGCCCUGGGCUAAAGGCAGGCGCUAAACCGCUGCGCCACCCAGGGAUCCCCAUUUCUGAGAUUAUUGAUAAUCACUGGAGUUCCACAUAAAGUUCAGAAUUUCUUUUUUCUUUUUUUCUUUUUUUUUUUUCUGGGCUCUGGUAGUCACCGAUGGAGGAGGAAAUGAGGUAAACUUAGUGGCUGUGUGCAUGGGUGAGUGCGGGGCUGGUAAAGGUGCACGUAGGGCACGUGCAGGCCCACCCAGGCUGGUACUUUCUGGGCAGGGCCGCUCCUCCAUCAGGCCUGGAUGCCAGCCAGGGUCUGUGGUACUUUUAGGGAUCCACAAAAACAGUCUAAUUUCUUUUCUUCCUUUCCUUUUUUUGGUAAAAGCUGUUUAUCUAAGUAAUUGUGGUGAAAUAUGUAUUAACAUAAAACUUACCAUUUUAACCGUUUUUAAGUGGCAUUGAGCACAUUCACAUUGUUGGGCAAGCAUCACCGCCACCAGCCUGUGCAACUUGGUCAUCACCCCUAGCAGAGACACUGCUCCCCUUAAACACUAACCCUCCAUCCCCCUCCCUCGGCCCCUGGUACCCGCCAUUCCACUUUCUAUCCAGCGAAUUUGACCGCUCUAAGUACCUUAUGUAAGUGGAAUCCUACAGUGUUUGUCCUCGUCUGUCUGGCUUACUUUCCUCAGCAUCAUGCUUCCAAGGUCCAGCCCUGUUGUGGCAGGUGUCACAACGUCCUUCCUUUUUAAAGCUAAAUACUAUUCCAUUGGAUGUAGGUCCAAUUUCUUCUAAAAUCAGAAGAAAAAAAAUCUUUAGGCCAAAGGCAACGGCUUCAUAUAUAACCUUAAUAUGUUCUUCUUUUUACCAAGGCAGUUAUAAACUCAUUAAUUUUUUUAAGAUUUUAUUUAUUUUUCAUGAGAGACACACAGAGAGAGGCAGAGACAUAGGCAGAGGGAAACACAGGCUCCCUGCAAGGAGCCCAAUGGGGGACUCGAUCCCAGGACCCUAGGAUCACACCUGGAGCUGAAUUCAGGUGCUCAACUGCCAAGCCACCCAGGCGUCCCUAUGAACUAAUUUUUUUUUAAAUUUUUUUUUUUUUUUAUGAUAGUCACACAGAGAGAGAGAGGCAGAGACACAGGCAGAGGGAGAAGCAGGCUCCAUGCACCGGGAGCCCGACGUGGGAUUCGAUCCCGGGUCUCCAGGAUCGCGCCCUGGGCCAAAGGCAGGCGCUAAACCGCUGCGCCACCCAGGAAUCCCAUGAACUAAUUUUUUUAAAAGAUUUUAUUUAUUUGAUAUGUAUAGAGAGGACAGGUAGGACAACAGCAAAGGGAGAGGGAGAAACAGGCCCCCCAGUGAGCAGGGAUUCCCAAUGAGGGACUUGAUCCCAGGACCUCGGGACUACGACCCGAGCUGAAUUCAGGUGCUCAACAAACUGAGCCACCCAGGUGCCCCUAUAAACUCAUUUUUAAUGCUUGUUUAGGGAGGAAGAAUCCACAAAAAGACCAUGGGCCCAGGACCCAUGAGAAGUCCAGGAGAAGUUUCAAGAAUGGCACCACUGGGAGGCUUGGUGGGAGGGGCCCAGCGGCUCUGCAUGUGGGUGGGUGCACGUAUGAGCCGCUGGGCUUGGGCUUGGGCCCAGCAAGCUGAGGGCCCAGCUUGCUCACCUGCGUAUGUGCCCUGGUACCUGUAGGGGUCCUGGGGCCACCUCUGCUCAGGAGGGAAGACAGGCUUCUGUCCCAUGCUGUUGAAAUAAAACGCAGGACAUAGAAAGGUCUUCCUUCCUU
rnacentral:lncRNA from 12 species